GUAUACUCGCUUCGGUACUACAUAUACUAAGAUUGGAACGAUACAGAGGAGUUUAACAUGGCCCCUGUUCAAAGAUGUCACUCAAAAUCGUGAAGCGUUCCACAUUUUU
rfam:Danaus plexippus plexippus isolate F-2 unplaced genomic scaffold DPSCF300058, whole genome shotgun sequence.